UACAGAGGUCCCAAGCGUUGUUCGGAUUCACUGGGCGUAAAGGGUGCGUAGGCGGUCGGGUGAGUCUGAUGUGAAAUCUCACAGCUUAACUGCGAAACUGCAUUGGAUACUAUCCGGCUCGAGGAAUGGAGGGGAGACUGGAAUACUUGGUGUAGCAGUGAAAUGCGUAGAUAUCAAGUGGAACACCAGUGGCGAAGGCGAGUCUCUGGACAUUUCCUGACGCUGAGGCACGAAAGCCAGGGGAGCAAACGGG
rnacentral:rRNA from 1 species